GGGUGGGGCACUGGGAACUGUGAGAGGCGGAGGAGAGCAUUCACAGUCAUUUCAUCAAAAAACCUGACUGGAAUAAUAAUUAGUUGGUGAGGAUGGUGCUGCGUUCGGAAGGGGAGUUGAUGUCCUGGAGGAUCCAGGUUCCCCCGCUGGGUCGGUAGAAGAGACGGUAGCCCUGGACGUACUGAGACUGACGGUCAACCUUGAUGAAUUGAGAGCGACAGAGGGGGAAUUUAGAAAAAGAGAGCCACUCACAGUCCAGGAUACUCGGAUGGAAGCUGUUGUUAGCGUGACAGGCUCCUGCAGCUGGACGGCCACCUCUCCCAGCUCCCUCUGCACUUG